rnacentral:tRNA from 1 species
GGAGAGCUGGCCGAGUGGUCGAAGGCGCACGACUGGAAAUCGUGUAAACGUCAAAAGCGUUUCGAGGGUUCAAAUCCCUCGCUCUCCGCCA